GGUCAGAGGAAAACAAGUGGGAGUGUGUUUUUGCUUUCCAUCAUAUGGGUCCCAGGAUUGAAUUCAAAUCAUGGGGCAUAGAAGUGGGUGCUUUUACUUGCUAAGCCAUCCUGCCAGCCCCACAAAGCAGCUUUGCUGAAAGAGACAAAUGAUGGUGUUUUAAAUUAUCUUUUUUAUGGCUAUGCUUACAUAGGAAUAAUAGUUCAGUAUUUAUUAAUUCACAUGGUCUGAUUUUUCAAGAUACUGUUUACUAUUUCAUUUGAGUUUAUAUGAUUUUAUUUUUUAAACUUUUUUUUAGAUUUGUUUAUUUAUUAUGUAUACAGCAUCUGUCUGUGUGCCCGAAGGUCAGAAGAGGGUGCCAGAUCUCAUUACAGAUGGUUGUAAGCCAACAUGUGGUUGCUGGGAAUUGAAUCAGGUCCUCUGGAAGAACAGCUCUUAAUCUCUGAGCCAUCUCUCCAGCCCCAAUUUUCUUAUUUUUUUAUGUGUGUGUGUUCAUGGUUGUAUGUGUGUAGGUUAGAGGAAAAUCCAUGGGAGUCUGUUAUUUCUUUCCACUGUUUGGCUCCAGAGAGAAAACUUAGAUCAUCAGGCUUGGUAGCAAGUGCCUUUGCUUACCAAGCUAGUCUAUCAGCCCCCUCAAUUCUCUUUUAAAUCCAAGUUCAUAGGAGAGUAGUAAGCUACAUUAUUAAACACAGCAAACAUAAACUUAAUUUAAUUCCAGGAAUUAGGGCUGGAGAGAUAGCUCAGUGGUUAAGAGCACUGGCUGCUCUGCUGGAAGACCUAGCUGGGUUCCGUUCUCAUCACCCACAUGGCUACUCACAGCUGUCUAUCUUCAGUACUAGGGAAUCUUGCACCCUCUUCUGGCCCCCGGAGCACUGCACAUGCCUGGUGCAGCACAGGCUUGGUGCAUGGACCUUUUUGCAGUUGUGAUUCUUGGGUGGAAGAGAUGUGAGAUGAUGCCUGAGAAAGGAACCUGCCCCUGCUCAGUCUGACCGUGGAAAGAUGUUGGUGGGCUGGGAAGUGACUUAAUGGCUGAGUGCUUGUCCACACGGACACUGACAAACACGUGGCAGUGCCACUUUGACGGAAUGUGGAGACACCUGAAAUUGGAUCCUUGUGCUCUGACUUACCUCCUUCCAGACACUCAGCGGGCAGUGUGCAUGUCACAGAGAUCUGGAAAGCAAAGACAUCGAGGUGACACCUAACCUGUUUGGAUUCCUGGCAACCCCAAACCUUGCAUGUGUACACACGGCAGAAGGAAGCUCAAGGUUUGCU
rnacentral:lncRNA from 1 species